CUGUGCAACUCUAUGGUUCAUAACCAUGCCAUUUAUUUUCACUUAAGUGAGGCGACAAUUCUGUGAAUGAUUUGCUGACUUAAAAAAUUUUAUAUUGUUCAAUACAAAAUCCGUUUCUUUUUCUUUCACGGCAAAAGACAUGUUAUUACUAAAUCUCAAUGCUAUUAAAAAAAUUAACCAGACACAUCACAGUUAAAUUACGCUUACAUUAUGCGGACAUCUAAGUUUCGAUCCUCUCGAUCUGCGUCACAAAGAAAUUGGAGGUAUAAUAUAAUUUUACUGGCACGCAUA